GAACUUUUACGCCUUUAUAAGUGUCGAUUUGAAUUGCCAGGAUUAAAAAGAACGUCCAUUGAACUACAAAGACUCGUUUUGAAAGUUGAUAUUAAAAUAAUUUGACAUGAAAUAAAUUUUUGCAAGUUUUUAAAAAUGUGGGAGUGUUAAAGACUAAAGUUGAAUUUAAAGAAGUUUAUCGAUUCAGACGCGGGUAAAUAAAUGGAAUUGUGAAUUGUGCAAUCGUUGCACGUUUUUCGCCCUGACGUCUUGAAAUGACGAGAAGAGUGGUCUUGUACCGCGGCGGUACCUAACAAAAUGUAUGUAACGUCUCGAGUAAAAGAAAGAAAAAAAAAUACAAAAAGAAUUCUGUGAUCUGCUCCUGUAAUUUAUUCUAACGUGAAGGUCGUAAUUUAUUGGAAAAGGUAACGAGAAUUGCUAUUGAAUAAAGUACCCUCUUCGUAGAGAUAUAUAUUUA